GUUGCGCCCCGCUCGUCUGGGCUCCGGGUCCACCUUCCUCGCUGAGUGGAGGGUUGGUUAGUGGAAGGUUGGGUCCACGCGGGCGGCCGGACUCGGGGUCCGCCCGAGGUGGGAAGGGCGGAGUCCAGGCGCCAGCGGACCCUUCGGAGAUCCCGCCGGGCAGGUGCCUGUGUGAGAGAGCCCGUUUGGGGUGCAGGAGUGCCUGGAGCGGCCUGCCCGGGCUUUGGGGGCCGGGACUCGGCGAAGAUGCAAACCAGCCGACCGGAGACGACAUUCCGAGCCAGUGGGAAUUCUCGCAGGCCGAGGUGUUCCUGAUUUUAGGAGUUUGUCGGUUUUGUUGCUUAUGAUGACGGUGUUGCCGUGGUUGUUUCUCUGACACUCCCCUACUCGGGGUACACACUAAAGUAUUCACAAGUAGUCACCCUGGGGUGUGAUUCAGGGAAGCGGAGGCGGAGAUUGAGUCCGAGCGAGGGAUGUGUGGCAGGAGGGAAGAUGCGAGAAGGUCUAAUUGUCACUAGACUGUGCUCCCAAAGUGCGGGGCUCGGCGGCGUCUCGUGUGUGUACUCCAGCCCUAUGGUUCUCUCUCAACUUGUCGGACACUGACUGUCCCCUGGGUGAAGAUUUGGGACCUGCGGUCGCUUGGGCUGUGGGUCUCGUCCGCUGGCCCGCAGUGAUUUAGGUCUCAGAGUGGAGAGCGAUGUGGAGUAGAAAGAAACCUGGCCUCGUGGCUGCGAUGGGCCUGUGCCAAGUGCACGUGGGGUCCAGUGCUUGCUUUGCUACCUGCCUUCCUUGCUAAACACAAAGAAACCCUACAGAAGCUCUCUUAGAGGGCUUGGUGGUGUGUGUGCUGCUCUUAAUCUCUUAAGAAGGCAGGUGGACCAAGGCAAACAUGCUUGUACUUUUAAGGAAAUUUUAUGAGGCAAGCCUCCCUGAGCAGCAGCAGUUCAAAAAAAGCCUCUUUUAAGAUCUCUUUUCAGGAGUUCCCUGAUGUUGCAUAGCGGAGACAAAUCCAACAAGUAUCAAUGAGGAUGCGGGUUCGAUCCCUGGCCUCGUUCAGUGGGUUAAGGACCUGGCGUUGCAGUGAGCUGCGAUGUAGGUCAGAGAUUGAGCUCAGAUUCCACGUUGCUGUGGUGUAAGCUGGCAGCUGUAGCUCCGAUUUGACCCCAGCCCAGGAAUUUCCAUAUGCCGGGGAUGCAGCCUUAAAAAGCAAAAAAAAAAAUCUCUUUUCAGAAGCUGGAAAUGUGGGUUUUGUUAUGACAUCUUUUCUUUUUUCUUUAUUUUAUUUUAUUUAUUUAUUUUUUUUUUGCUUUUUAGGGCUGCACCUGCAGCAUAUGGAGGUUCCCAGCCUAGGUGUCCAAUCCAAGCUGUAGCUACUGGCCUACACCACAGCUCACAGCAAGGCUGCAUCCUUAACCCACUGAGCAGGGCCAGAGAUGUAACCCUAGUCCUCAUGGAUACAGGUCGGUUUGUUACCGCUGAGUCACAACGGGAACGCCUGAACUCUGACUUUUAAAUAUUGAUGUACGGCUCAGCAUUUCUGUUACAGUCUGGCCACAUUCAUCAGUCAGUCAUGAUGACAACCUGUGAUCUCACCCAAAUCCAAUGGGGGACAGGCUUCCCAUUUCAGUGACUUAACUGGUUUGCUGUUGACAGCUCCUCCUUUCUCCAAGAUUCUCUGUCUCCUUCUCCUCCCUACGGACUUUGAACUGGUGCAAGGUGAAACUGAGGACCUGGGCUUGGGAAACUGAGGAAAACUCGGAGUGAGGCGGGCCAUGAGGCCUGUUUAGCUCUUCUGGUUAUAGCACCCCUCUUGGUGGACAGAGAAAGGUGAAAAACAAACCGGAAAUUUUCUUACUGGGCAUGGAACUAGAGCAAAAGAAGGUUGCAACUUUGUUUUAAAUUCUUUUUUAGAAUUGCCUGAGUUCCCACUGUGGUUCAUUGCUAAGAACCCAACUAGUAACCAUAUGCGGGUUCCAUCUCUGGCCUUGCUCAGUGGGUUAAGUAUCCCGCCUUGCCACGGGCUGUGAUGUAGGUUGCAGAGGAAGCUGGGAUCUGGCAUGGCUGUGGCUGUGGCAUAGGCCGGCAGCUGUAGCUCUGAUUCAUCUCCUAGCCUGGGAACUUACAUAUGCUGCAGGUGUAGCCCUAAAAAGAAAAAAAAAUCAUUACACUGGGUUUUUGACAUAAUUCUGUUAGUCGUUAGGGGCAACCUUGCAUUCCAUUUUGUACAUUUCCUGCCCUAGACGCAGAAUCAGCCAUUUAUCCAAGGAAUCCUAAUUGACAACAGAAGCAAGGUUUUUGCAUCCCCCCCCCUUUUUUUUUUUUUUUUUUGCUUUUUAGGGCCACAUUUGUGGCAUAUGAAAGUUCACAGGCUAGGGGUCAAAUCGGAGCUACAGCUGCUGGCCAGAGACAUAGCAACCUGGGAUACAAGCCACAUCUGCAACCUACCACCAGAGCACACAGCAACCCAGGAUCCUUAACCCACAGAGCAAGGCCAGGGAUUGAACCUGUAUCCUCAUGGAUACUAAUCGGAUUCCUUUCAGCUGUGCCACAAGGAGAAAUCCUUGUAUUUCUAAUUUUUUUUUCCGUUAAAGAGAACCCUGAAGUGUGUCCUCAUUGAUGGGUAAUCUUAAGGAGAUUGCAUUCCUACAGGAAGAAACCUGCUGUAGGUAAUCUAAUACCCCACAUCCAACCUUUUCCCCUCAAAGGAGGGAGAGGGAAUUUCUGCCAGUAUUUACCUAGGCUAGCCACCCCUUCAUUUAAUCAAUAUCCGCUGAAUAGCCAUUUAUGCCAGACAGUGUUUUUUUUUGUUGUUUUGUUUUGUUUUUGUCUUUUUGCCAUUUCUUGGGCCGCCGUGGCAUGUCGAGGUUCCCAGGCUAGGGGUCGAAUCGGAGCUACAGCUGCCGGCCUACACCACAGCCACAGCAACGUGGGAUCUGAGCUGCAUCUGCGACCUAUACCUCAGCUCACGGCAACGCUUGAUCCUUAACCCACUGAGUGAGGCCAGGGAUCAAACCCGCAACCUCAUGGUUCCUAGUCUGAUUCAUUUCUGCUGCGCCAUGACAGGAACUACCUGGAAAGUAAAAAUCAAUUUGAAAAGAUCAACAAAAUCAACAAGACUUUAGCUAGACUGACAAAGAAAAAAAA
rnacentral:lncRNA from 1 species